UUGUAUUAUGCGUUUCAUUCAUUUAAUAUAUGUUGAAAUGAAUGAAUGUAUUAUUAAAUUAUUUCUUUCCAAACACAUUUCUCAAACACUCCUAUCACCUCUUCCACCAUGCUCACCGCUUGGACUAACAAGUAGUCCUCUCAAGUACUCUGUUGAACUGCUCAAAUGUAAAGAUUAAUCUUUUGGAAGCACCAGAGAGUCACAGUGUAUACUUACAUUUAUCUGCAGAUGACAUUCGAUAAUACUGUAUUCAUUUAUUAUAGAAGGAAAAAAUACUCGUCAACUUAAUGCAAUUCCACCUGUUUUUUCUAGCUUCUUUUUUGUUAAUCCACAAGGUGUGCAGUUAGAGGUUGUCUUCUCUGAGGCAAAAAUAAGAUCAUAUAAUACAUGUAGCAUGUUCUGUAGUUCAUAGUGCACUUUAUUGUAACUUUUUCAUAUUCUUUGUUUUAAAAUAGAUUUUUCUUAAUACUAUACAUAAGUCAACUGCAUAUUUCAUUGAGUGUUUAAUCUUUCUCUUUGACAUGAAACACUGUACAGAUUUAACACUAUACAUCCAGUAACAGAUCAUCACCUUUAAAUACCAGAUAUAAAUGUUGUUAGUCAAUAGAGUUUUCCAUAUUUUCUUCUAUUUGUAUAACAAAUGUAUGUAACAAAUGUCUGUACAGUAAUCAUGCCCUAAAAAAAGAAUAAAGACUAUCGGUAUCCAAAAUGUCUCAUUCUCAAUGUGAGUUGUGUACUAAAAUGCAGUAUGUUGAAAAUGAAUGGUUCAUUUAUAAAGAAUCAAUCUCAAAAAAGUUAUACAAUGCAGUUAUAAAUUACAAAAUCUACCCAUCCCAUUUCAGCUCCUUUGGUUAUUUUCUAAUACAGUGGGGAGUUUUACAAAUAAAUAAUGAAGACAAAAUAAAUAAAAAAUACAAGCACUCAAAUGGCAAUUUAAAUUUAGCACUUGCAUUCUGAAUGGCAGUCUUGUAUCAGGAAGCACUAGAUCUGUUACUUGGGCAGUAAAAGUCAAGAUAAUCACAUGUGCUCAUUUUUUAUAUUAGUCUCCCUGUACACAGUAAUGUUUUGAAUGUCAUUUGUUUAUAUUAAAAGGAAAUUGAAUAUUUCUCUUCUAAAUGUGCUACUGUUAACUGUUGUGAAAUAUUUUUCUUGGCUCUGAACCAAGCCACAACAUUUUCUACUGAACUGUUAGCAUGCUUGAAAGUGUAUAUUGCUACAUCAGCGAUUUAAACUCAUCAAUGUUAGCAAAACCUCAAAUGCUUUAAAGUGGGAUUGUCUACUUAAUGUCAUACGUAAGCAAUGUUGUUGC